GAUGAAGAACGUAGCGAAAUGCGAUAAGUAAUGUGAAUUGCAGAAUUCAGUGAAUCAUAGAAUCUUUGAACGCACAUUGCGCCCAUUAGUAUUCUAGUGGGCAUGCCUGUUCGAGCGUCAUUUCAACCCUUAAGCCUAGCUUAGUAUUGGGAAUCGACUUUACUGUCGUUCCUCAAAUUCAACGGCGGAUUUAUAGCAAUCUCUGAACGUAGUAAUUUUUUUUCCUCGUUUUUGAAAUACUAUAAACCUCAGCCGCUAAACCCCCAAUUUCUUAUGGUUGACCUCGGAUCAGGUAGGAAUACCCGCUGAACUUAAGCAUAUCAAUAAGCGGAGGA
rnacentral:misc_RNA from 1 species